rnacentral:rRNA from 1 species
GAUGAACGCUGGCGGCGUGCCUAAUACAUGCAAGUCGAGCGAACAGACGAGGAGCUUGCUCCUCUGACGUUAGCGGCGGACGGGUGAGUAACACGUGGAUAACCUACCUAUAAGACUGGGAUAACUUCGGGAAACCGGAGCUAAUACCGGGUAAUAUAUUGAACCGCAUGGUUCAAUAGUGAAAGACGGUUUUGCUGUCACUUAUAGAUGGAUCCGCGCCGCAUUAGCUAGUUGGUAAGGUAACGGCUUACCAAGGCGACGAUGCGUAGCCGACCUGAGAGGGUGAUCGGCCACACUGGAACUGAGACACGGUCCAGACUCCUACGGGAGGCAGCAGUAGGGAAUCUUCCGCAGUGGGCGAAAGCCUGACGGAGCAACGCCGCGUGAGUGAUGAAGGUCUUCGGAUCGUAAAACUCUGUUAUUAGGGAAGAACAAAUGUGUAAGUAACUAUGCACGUCUUGACGGUACCUAAGCAGAAAGCCACGGCUAACUACGU